UACGUAGGGUGCAGGCGUUAAUCGGAAUUACUGGGCGUAAAGCGUGCGCAGGCGGUUUGCUAAGACAGGUGUGAAAUCCCCGGGCUUAACCUGGGAACUGCGCUUGUAACUGGCAAGCUAGAGUGUGGCAGAGGGGGGUGGAAUUCCACGUGUAGCAGUGAAAUGCGUUGAGAUGUGGAGGAACACCGAUGGCGAAGGCAGCCCCCUGGGCUAACACUGACGCUCAUGCACGAAAGCGUGGGGAGCAAACAGG
rnacentral:rRNA from 1 species